AGUCUGUGAUGAGGACACAUUUGUAGCAUUGAUUUGAAUCUCUCUCAUGCUUCUUACAAUGUUUCACCUUCGAAUUGUUUGAAAUUUGCCAUAUCGUGUCGGAGU
rfam:Gossypium hirsutum cultivar TM-1 chromosome 22, whole genome shotgun sequence